AACCAAGAAAACGCCUUCAGUUUCAAAAUGCGACCAUGAAUCAGCUCAACUAUCAUUCCCCAUAUUCUAAUUUUAGAUCAAAAAGAAAACAGAUAACACACUUGUGGUGCGUGAAACGUUUUCCUCUCUCACACGACGGAUCAAAGCCUGAUCGAAUCUGCGGUCACUACUAAUCAAAUCGGCUUCGUCCAACCUCAACAAAGUGAAAUUCCCCGCCUUUCACUUUCUUGUGUGCGUCGAAUUAAAGAAAGCGGAAUGAAUAUGAAGCGAGGGAGAUUACCGGUUUGGCGUUCGUCGCGAAAAUCCUAAGUUCAGAUCUCCAUCAUCAUGCGUUACGCUUCCGUGUUCAUUGUUGUCGUUGUUCGAUUUCGGAUCAUUGCAUGGCGGUUGAUGAAAGUCAGAUUAUUAUUGUCGUCGCGUGGAGACGAAGUUGAAGACACGUCAAUCGAUGAUUGAUAAUGAAGUGUUGGCGUUGAAGAAUCCGGGAGUUCUCUCAUGGUAAAACGCUGUCGAUGAACGACGAAGAAUUGAGUCGUCCCAAUCGUUAUUCUUCAACUCGCGAUUAAAAGGUGGAUCAAGUGGUUUUUUAUUGUGGAAAGAUGUUCUCUUGGACAAUGCUUCGAAUGAAUUUGAGCUUGCUUAGUAUGGAGUCUUGGAUUUAUCAUGGAGCCAUUAUGCUGUUGUAAUUGGAUUGGAUUUUAUUGAAUGUAGUAGCUAUGUUCGUAAUGGAGUUAAAUGGUUGUAACUUGUGAAUGAACCAUGGUUUAUCAUUAUAUAUGGGAAUGUAGAGAUUGUAAUGCUUGGGUUGUAAUUUCCAUGAGGGGGAUAUAUAUUGUAGAAGCUGUGGCCAGAUUUAUCACGGACAUUUUGCUUUUGGUUUUACAGGCGAGAGAUGCCAUGAAUGUACCGUGGUAGUUGAAAGUUAUGGUUGACAUUAAGAAGGAGAUGCUUUAGUGUAAAGCUUUGGAUUAAUGAGUCAUGUUCACUCUCUCGUGGAUGUACUUGUUUUACGGUGUCCUAAGAUGUGCAAAGUAGCAUUACUGAUUUUUGUAUUUAGAAUUUCGUGUUUAUGUGUGUUCAGUAUUUAUGGUUCUAUAUUACAUGUCCACCUAUCAUAAGUUCCCCGUGGACUUCACACAAGAACCCAUACUGUGAAGGCUGUGGCAGAGAUUAUCAUAGACAUGGUUUUCCUUGUGUUACUAGGCUGAGAGGCUUUGAAUGUACCAUGGGAUUUGAAAGCUAUCACAAACAUUAUUAAAGACAUGCUUUCUAGCCUUUGGAUUUAAUGCGGGUCUUUUUUCUUCUAGUGUAAUUUGACAACGUUAAUUUUUGUGUUUAGAAUUUGACUGUCGUUUUUUUGCAGUACAUCUCAAUCUCUUUCUUGGAUCAUUGAACAAAUGCUUGGGGAUAUACUUCAUACGAUGGACAAGAGAGUCCUGAUAUGUCAGAUUUCUUCAAUGAUCUAUCCUUUACUAUUUUUAUUUUUGGGCUCUGUUUAUAGAACACAAACUGAAUUGCAAACCUAAUUUUCUGCCGCAUUUGUUCUUCUUGGCAUAGAGCCUCGUCUUUGAUUUGAUGACCUAUAGUAAAUUCUUCUUGUUUUAGUAGUAAAUUCUUCUUGUUUUAGUAUUUCUAUAUUGGUUAUGAGAGCUUACUUUUCUUGAUUUGUUAUUUUCCUUUGUUAUUGCAGAAGAGGUAUUUUCCUUGGUUUUGUCUUCCUCUUUUUUCCUUGGUUAUAAGUUUAUGCUUAAAUAUAAAUUUUCAAUUCUUUUAGAUUAUUUGUUUAACAUUUUUGAUGUUGUUGGCAGAGUAAAUGUUACAUGGGCAAGGACAUGUGAACCAUAAUGAUAUGUCGAUGUGUUUUAGUUUGGUGACUCUACUCAGAUUAGGAACUCUUUACGGUUCAGUAUUUUUGUUUUCAUCAUACACAUUCCUAUCAUCUUUGGGAUAAAAUUAUGCAUUUUCUAUGAUACACAAUUCUUCCAGUUUUGUAUUUUUGUUUCAUCAUACACAUUCCUAUCAUCUUUGGGAUAAAAUUAUGCAUUUUCUAUGAUACACAAUUCUUCCAGUUUUGUAUUUUUGUUUCACCAUAUUCGUAACAUGAAUUUUACUCUGGUUUAGAGCAUACAAGAUUCUAGGGAAACUCUGUCCUUCCUAAAAUGAGGAAAUUUUAGGAGUUGUUUGUUUCGGUGAUUGGGACAAGUUGGUUAGGUUGAAGCUUAAAUUGUGACAUUUCAUAUUAAGUACAAGAUCUUGUAGAUUGGAUGGAAGUCUAAUUGAUUGUGUUCUUAUGCUUUAAUUUGGGGAGAGUCUAUGAAUUUGCGGUGUUCUGUGGCCUGGGGUAAGAAGCAGAGGUUAGCAUACUGUCCAUUGAACCUUGGGAUAAAUCGAGUCGCUUUCUUACAAUGUGUUUGUUUUGGGAUUGGGAAUAUUUGUCCUCUUCCUGUUAGUAUUGGAGUUUGUGUUUUUUGUACCAGGAACCGGUAGUAUUGCAGUUUGUGAUUUUUGUAAGAAUCUCCUCUGCUAAAUUGAGCCCUGUUUAGUAAACGGCGUGACGAGCCUUUCGUCAUGGUUGACUUAGUUCUUCAUUUAGUUCCGAGAUUGUUAACUGAUACUUAUUUGGUUAUGUCAUAUAAUGUGAUUCAACAGCAGUCUCCCGUCUUUAAAAUGCCAUUGGUAAAGGAAAAGGUCAAAAUUAUCUCAUAUCUAUAUUAUCUCAUUUCAUAUAUUUUUAUGUCUAAGUGCUGGUAAAAAAUGAGAGUCUAUUAAGCUGCCUUUUUUUUUACUAGAUAUCUGUCCGUCUAUUAAACUGCUUUUUUUCAUAUAAUGUCAUAUAAUGUGAUACUUAUUUGGUUAUGUCAUAUAAUGUGAUUCAACAGCAGUCUCCCGUCUUUAAAAUGCCAUUGGUAAAGGAAAAGGUCAAAAUUAUCUCAUAUCUAUAUUAUCUCAUUUCAUAUAUUUUUAUGUCUUAGUGGAGUAUUAAGUGCUGGUAAAAAAUGAGAGUCUAUUAAACUGCCUUUUUUUUUACUAGAUAUCUGUCCGUCUAUUAAACUGCUUUUUUUCCUAGUUCUCGUCUUCUAUUAUGUGGUUAUACACACCAUUGUGAUUUG